GGUCAUUUUAGGUUAAAAGUCAUUUUUCGAUUUUCCUAGGAGUUUCUCAAUAAAUGUAAAAAACCGAAAAAAAAACUGAGGAAAAAGGGGAAAAUGUACAAAAUAUAUUACUAAAAUAUUACGAUUUUUUUGCUGUGCAUAACUUUUUUACCAGCAAUUAAGCUCCAAUUUACAAGGAUAGCACUUAUUCAAUAAGGAAAUCGUACUGGGACGGUACUUUAAGGAUGUCAUUUUUUCAAUUUUCUCGAGUUUUUCCAGCAAAUGUGAAAAACAAGGAAAAAACACUGGAAAACCGGGAAAAACGUAGUAAAAACUGGAAAACCGGUACAACAU